AUCCAGCUGACGAGUCGCGAAUAGGACGAAACGCGCAUCCUGGAU
rfam:Schistosoma mansoni strain Puerto Rico chromosome 1, complete genome